rnacentral:rRNA from 1 species
UACGUAGGGGGCAAGCGUUGUCCGGAUUUAUUGGGCGUAAAGAGCUCGUAGGUGGUUCAGUAAGUCAGGUGUGAAACCUCCAGGCUCAACCUGGAGACGCCACUUGAUACUGCUGUGACUGGAGUCCGGUAGGGGAGCGUGGAAUUCCUGGUGUAGCGGUGAAAUGCGCAGAUAUCAGGAGGAACACCAGCGGCGAAGGCGGCGCUCUGGGCCGGUACUGACACUGAGGAGCGAAAGCGUGGGUAGCAAACAGG